UACGUAGGGUGCAAGCGUUGUCCGGAAUUAUUGGGCGUAAAGAGCUCGUAGGUGGUUUGUCGCGUUGUUCGUGAAAACUCACAGCUUAACUGUGGGCGUGCGGGCGAUACGGGCAGACGUGGAGUACUGCAGGGGAGACUGGAAGUUCCUGGUGUAGCGGUGGAAUGCGCAGAGUAUCAGGAGGAACACCGGUGGCGAAGGCGGGUCUCUGGGCAGUGAACUGACGCUGGAGGAGCGAAAGCGUGGGGAGCGAACAGG
rnacentral:rRNA from 1 species